rnacentral:misc_RNA from 1 species
GUUCCAGGAUGGCCAAGACGA